rnacentral:rRNA from 1 species
UGGGGAAUUUUGGACAAUGGGCGAAAGCCUGAUCCAGCAAUGCCGCGUGUGUGAAGAAGGCCUUCGGGUUGUAAAGCACUUUUGUCCGGAAAGAAAUCCUUGGCUCUAAUACAGUCGGGGGAUGACGGUACCGGAAGAAUAAGCACCGGCUAACUACGUGCCAGCAGCCGCGGUAAUACGUAGGGUGCAAGCGUUAAUCGGAAUUACUGGGCGUAAAGCGUGCGCAGGCGGUUUGCUAAGACCGAUGUGAAAUCCCCGGGCUCAACCUGGGAACUGCAUUGGUGACUGGCAGGCUAGAGUAUGGCAGAGGGGGGUUAGAAUUCCACGUGUAGCAGUGAAAUGCGUAGAGAUGUGGAGGAAUACCGAUGGCGAAGGCAGCCCCCUGGGCCAAUACUGACGCUCAUGCACGAAAGCGUGGGGAGCAAACAGGAUUAGAUACCCUGGUAGUCCACGCCCUAAACGAUGUCAACUAGUUGUUGGGGACUUCAUUUCCUUAGUAACGUAGCUAACGCGUGAAGUUGACCGCCUGGGGGAGUACGGUCGCAAGAUUAAAA